ACUUCAGGACGGGGACAACAGUUGGAAACGACUGCUAAUACCCGAUGUGCCGCAAGGUGAAACCUAAUUGGCCUGGAGAAGAGCUUGCGUCUGAUUAGCUAGUUGGUGGGGUAAGGGCCUACCAAGGCGACGAUCAGUAGCUGGUCUGAGAGGAUGAGCAGCCACACUGGGACUGAGACACGGCCCAGACUCCUACGGGAGGCAGCAGUGGGGAAUUUUCCGCAAUGGGCGAAAGCCUGACGGAGCAACGCCGCGUGAGGGAGGAAGGUCUUUGGAUUGUAAACCUCUUUUCUCAAGGAAGAAGUUCUGACGGUACUUGAGGAAUCAGCCUCGGCUAACUCCGUGCCAGCAGCCGCGGUAAUACGGGGGAGGCAAGCGUUAUCCGGAAUUAUUGGGCGUAAAGCGUCCGCAGGUGGUCAGCCAAGUCUGCCGUCAAAUCAGGUUGCUUAACGACCUA
rnacentral:rRNA from 1 species